rnacentral:lncRNA from 1 species
AGCCAGUAUACCACCCCGACACCCCCUCCCUCGACGCUCCCUCCUGGGGGGUGAUCUUUGGGGUUCUGCCCGUGCACCACCACCGAGGGGGGGGAGUGGGGGGGAGGUCGUGGCUACCCCCCCUCACCUACGACCCGCUGCUGACCUCGGCGCACGGCCCUAAGGGGAGCGCGUGGCCUCGGUCCCUCCUGCUCGUGCUGGCGCUGCUCUUCGCCGUCAUGGGGCUGGUCAUGAUUAUCGUUGGUUCGACUUCCUAUCACGCGCUUCUGGUGCGGCGAACGGGAGAAGGGAUAAACGAAGAGGAAAGAGGAGGAGGAGGAGGAGGGAAAAGAAGAAGGAAUAGGAGGAAAAGAAGGAGGAGGAGGAGAAGGAGGAGAUGGAGGAAUAGGAAGAGAAGCAGGAGGAGGAGGAGAAGGAGAACGAGGAAUAGGAGGGGAAAGCAAAGGAGGAGGAGAAAUUACCGCGGAUGGAGGAAGAGGAGGAGGAGGAGGAGGGGACGUGCGGGGGGGGAACGCCACGGCGUACGUCCUCGUCCUCUGCCUCGGGAUCCUGCUCGAGGUGGCGGCUCUGGGGUCCCUUUGGGGCUACUGCAGAUACAUGGGGUAUUAUCUGCCGUGCUGCCCGGGCAAGAUCUCGCGCAUUCGCCGCAGGUUCCACGGACACCCAACGCGCUCGACUAUGUUCAAUGGGCAG